rnacentral:rRNA from 1 species
UUCCAGCUCCAAUAGCGUAUAUUAAAGUUGUUGCAGUUAAAAAGCUCGUAGUUGAAUUUCGGGGUUAGUAGGUUGGUCAUGCCUCCGUAUGUACUGAUCUCACUGAUUCCUCCUUCCUUAUGAACCGUAAUGCCAUUAAUUUGGUGUUGCGGGGAAUUUGGACUGUUACUUUGAAAAAAUUAGAGUGUUUAAAGCAGGCUAACGCUUGAAUACAUUAGCAUGGAAUAAUGAAAUAGGACGUUCGAUCUUAUUUUGUUGGUUUCUAGGAUUGACGUAAUGAUUAAUAGGGAUAGUUGGGGGCAUUAGUAUUCAAUUGUCAGAGGUGAAAUUCUUGGAUUUAUUGAAGACUAACUACUGCGAAAGCAUUUGCCAAGGAUGUUUUCAUUAAUCAAGAACGAAAGUUAGGGGAUCGAAGACGAUCAGAUACCGUCGUAGUCUUAACCAUAAACUAUGCGACUAGGGAUCGG